CUGAUAUUUGCUGAACCCCUUUGGACUUUAGAGAUAUUGCAGUUGGGGGUGCAGUAUGAAUCCUUACUGUCCACAACAACCAGGUGCAUGGGGAAAUCCUUGCAACAACAUGACCUACCCAGACCAACCAGGUGCAUAUGUGUGUCCACCAGUGGGCCUACAGCCUAUUCAAGGAUUGACUGGAAUAGGAGGUCCAAUCUUCCAUAAUAACCAUCAUGGUCAUGGUCACUGGCAUGGUCAUGGGCAUGAACAUGGGCACCAUGGGCACCACGGGCACCACGGGCAUGGAUUGUUUCACCACCACCACCACCACCACCACGGGCAUGGAAACCAUUUCUAGAAGAAGUCACAACUGAGCAAGCGUUUUGAAGGAAACUCCCAUCAUGAUUCAGAAUAGAUAAAGACAUUCCACACAUGAAGUCCACACAUAAUGAAUUGCAAGUUAAAGUGUGUUACCAUUAACUUGGAUUUUUUUUUCUCAUGAAAGCUCUAUUUAUUUUAUGUAAACUCUAUGUAGACCUAGAUUGCAUGCAUAAUUAUUAGAUCCCUUAUGAAAGAUUACUAACACAGCAGUUAAUAAUAGAGAUUAUUAACUGUCAUGUUUAACUAUGAUAACUAUAUAGAGGGCAUGCCUGUUUUUAUUUUAUUUUGAUUAUUAUAAAUAUUUCUUUCAUGUAAACAUCACUAGUGAA